CAGCCGCCACGGUAAUACGAAGGGGGCUAGCGUUGUUCGGAUUUACUGGGCGUAAAGCGCACGUAGGCGGACUUUUAAGUCAGGGGUGAAAUCCCGGGGCUCAACCCCGGAACUGCCUUUGAUACUGGGAGUCUUGAGUUCGAGAGAGGUGAGUGGAAUUGCGAGUGUAGAGGUGAAAUUCGUAGAUAUUCGCAGGAACACCAGUGGCGAAGGCGGCUCACUGGCUCGAUACUGACGCUGAGGUGCGAAAGCGUGGGGAGCAAACAGGAUUAGAUACCCGUGUAGUCCCUGUCUCUUAUAC
rnacentral:rRNA from 1 species